rnacentral:lncRNA from 10 species
ACCUCAGAUUCGGAGCCACUGGUCCCCCUCAAUGUCUUGCUGUCUCCUCUGGGGACCUGGAAAGUCACCUGACACUAGAGACACUAGACACCGGGAAGGGGGGAGGGAAGAGAAGCUCUAUUUGGAGGAGGCACCUGAGAAGAUGAUAGAAUGGCUAUUGCUGACUCCUGGAAUGCUGUUUGGAAAAGACUACGGAGAGAGUGAUUCUUCAUCAGUGAUUAAGCAUCUUUUCAUGAUUAAUGCAGAGCUGUGAGAAGACAGAAGCAGUGGAAUGACACCACAACAUCUGUGCAUUGAGAAGGGCACUCUGCUGCGGCAUGGCAGUGAGUACAAUGAGAUGGCUUAGGAAAUAGAUGGAUGUACCUCAGAUUGGGGUGGUCCAAUGAGGAUGUAGUUCCGAAGGCAUAUUUCUGAGCUCUUUAGGAGGGAGAAUGGACAGGGCUUGUGAUGGCUGUGGUUGGAGGGAAGGUGAGGGGUCUGGGAUGGCUCUUUGGUGUCUGGCUCGCACUGCUGAAUGAGUGGCGGUGCCACUAGCUGAGAAGGAGAACAUGGGAAGCCAGCUAGAUUUAGGAGAGGACUUGAACUUCAUUUAGACCUGUUGAGUGGGAGAUACCCCCAAAAGGAGGUAUGGUGUAAAUAGUUGCCUAUAAAGGUCUGAUAUUCAAAUGAAGUAUUGGAAGCAUCUGAAAAUGGAAGCUGCCAGUAUGGAUGAGCUGUCUUAAAGAGAGGCUACGAAAUGAGAAUGAAGACCAGGACUGAGAUACCAGAACUCCAGUCUGUGUGGGCCAUAGCCCAGAGACUUAGGAGAGCCCAGAGCAGGAGGAAACUUGGAGGGUG